AAGUUAUAACAAAAAAUCAAUAGGUCAGGUGAAAGUGAAUAGACUUUAGUUCAGUUGCAAUGGAGACAGGCGGUAAUACUGAAGAAUUAAGAUUCUCAUAUAACGAUAAUGCUAAGGUAUUGACCAUUGGAAGGCCAGGGGUUGUCAUUUCUACUGAUUUCACUGUAACUAUUAAUUAAUGAAGAGACUCUGUCUUUUUUGUCUUUUACUUUUCAGCUGGUAAUGGGUUCAUGCCAUCUUGAUAUUUAUUACCAUUAAUUUCUUGGAUUUAAUUAUACAAUCUAUUGCAAUUGUA